GAUGAAGAACGUAGCGAAAUGCGAUACGUAAUGUGAAUUGCAGAAUUCAGUGAAUCAUCGAAUCUUUGAACGCAUAUUGCGCUCUCUGGUAUUCCGGAGAGCAUGCUUGUUUGAGUAUCAGUAAACACCUCAACUUCCAUAUCUUUUUUUGAAAUGGGAGUUGGACUUGAGUGAUCCCAACGCUUUUCCUCACCGAAAAGUGGCGGGUUACUUGAAAUGCAGGUGCAGCUGGAUUUUUCUCUGAGCUAUAAGCAUAUCUAUUUAGUCUGCCUAAAAAACAGAUUAUUACCUUUGCUGCAGCUAACAUAAAGGAGAUUAGUUCUUGUGCUGACUGAUGCAGGAUUCACAAAGACAGCUUCGGCCGACUUUGUAAACUCGAUCUCAAAUCAAGUAAGACUACCCGCUGAACUUAAGCAUAUCAAUAAGCGGAGGA
rnacentral:misc_RNA from 1 species